GUGCUCGCUUCAGCAGCACAUAUACUAAAAUUGGAACAAUACAGAGAAAAUUAGCAUGGUCCCCGCGCAAGGAUGUCACUCAAAUUCGUGACACAUUCCAUGCUUUU
ensembl:snRNA U6 U6 spliceosomal RNA